rnacentral:lncRNA from 1 species
AUCAGAUAAAAAAUGAACGUUGUACUAAACCAACCUUUAAAUACCUACAAGAAAACAAUAAGAGCAGCCAGAAUUGAUCAAGUUAAAAAAAAAUGAGCCCAGUAUUUUUCUCGUUAAUAGCGCAAGAAGUGGAUGAGGUCAUAAUGACAGGUCAAAUUUAUGAUGCAUCCUUCUAAAAUUCUCCUACUUCCAAGGCACAGUUCAGAGACUUAGGGGUCACUCAUGCUGUUUCUAUGCAUUUAACAUAAUCAAUUGAUUCUGCUUUCAUGAAUGUGCCUCUAUGGAAUGAAUUGCCAGCUGCUUGUGUGAAUACAACUCUGCCACCAGUCACAGCCCAGAUACUUCUUGCCCAAGAAGCCCUCUCAGACCGAGGUACCUCAUGGAGGAAACAACCUAAAGGAAAAGUAGAAAAAUUCUGGCACAGACUGAAAUCCCAGGAAGACUCCAGCUGA